rnacentral:lncRNA from 1 species
AGUUAUUACUAAGUUAGUAAACGUUAGCUUAAAAAAAACACCUCAAUUUGAAUGCGCUCGAGCUACACGGUUGAGCGAUGGCGGGAAGCGAUAACGUUAAUCUUUCGCCGUGCGAGAGGAGUGUGCAUGCUUAUCUUUCUUGUAGGGAACGGCGAUGCAAGUUCCCGAUGCCUUCCGUUGUGUGCACUUUCGGCAGUCGUCGGGCAUGCGCCGCUAGUAAAUACUGGAGAUGUGUAGAAAGGAGCUCAAAGAGAAGAAAGAGGUUGCCGAGGAGGUGGUGGAGAAGGAGAACGGCAGUGGGGACGCACCUGGCAAGGAAACACACACAAAUGGUGCAGAGGAGACAAAUGGUGCAGAGGGGAAGACAAAUGGUGCAAUUCAUUCUGAAGUAACGCCAGAGGUUGAAGAGGAUGGAGAGGGAGAGGAUGCAGCUGAAGAUGCAGAAGAAGCUGCUGAGGUUGACCACCCUGUGAAACGCCCAGCUGAGGAGGAGGAACAAGUGGAAACAAAAAAACAGAAAACAGAAAACGAUGAUUCAAAGGAAGCUGAAGUGGAGGCCUAG